GAUGAACGCUAGCGGCAGGCUUAACACAUGCAAGUCGAGGGGUAUAGUAGCAAUACUAGAGACCGGCGCACGGGUGCGUAACGCGUAUGUAAUCUACCUUUUGCAGAGGGAUAGCCCAGAGAAAUUUGGAUUAAUACCUCAUAGUAUUAUGGUAUGGCAUCAUAUUAUAAUUAAAGUCACAACGGCAAAAGAUGAGCAUGCGUCCCAUUAGCUAGUUGGUAAGGUAACGGCUUACCAAGGCGACGAUGGGUAGGGGUCCUGAGAGGGAGAUCCCCCACCCUGGUACUGAGACACGGACCAGACUCCUACGGGAGGCAGCAGUGAGGAAUAUUGGACAAUGUGCGCAAGCCUGAUCCAGCCAUGCCGCGUGCAGGAUGACGGUCCUAUGGAUUGUAAACUGCUUUUGCACUGGAAGAAACAACGCUACGUGUAGCGUCUUGACGGUACUGUGAGAAUAAGGAUCGGCUAACUCCGUGCCAGCAGCCGCGGUAACAC
rnacentral:rRNA from 1 species